rfam:Coccidioides posadasii str. Silveira unplaced genomic scaffold supercont2.8, whole genome shotgun sequence.
GGGCAAUUAGUUUAGUGGUAUAACGUCCGUUUUGCAUUGACGGUAAUACGGAAGGUCGUGAUUUCGAUUAUCACAUUGUCCA